rnacentral:rRNA from 1 species
UUAAAUUGAAGAGUUUGAUCAUGGCUCAGAUUGAACGCUGGCGGCAGGCCUAACACAUGCAAGUCGAACGGUAACAGGAAGCAGCUUGCUGCUUCGCUGACGAGUGGCGGACGGGUGAGUAAUGUCUGGGAAACUGCCUGAUGGAGGGGGAUAACUACUGGAAACGGUAGCUAAUACCGCAUAAUGUCGCAAGACCAAAGAGGGGGACCUUCGGGCCUCUUGCCAUCGGAUGUGCCCAGAUGGGAUUAGCUAGUAGGUGGGGUAACGG